rnacentral:tRNA from 1 species
UGGGACAUGGCCAAGUGGUAAGGCAGCGGUUUUUGGUACCGAUAGUCGGAGGUUCGAGUCCUUCUGUCCCAG